rnacentral:rRNA from 1 species
CGAACGGGUGAGUAACACGUGAGUAACCUGCCCCAGGGUGGGGGACAACAGUUGGAAGCGACUGCUAAUACCGCAUAAGCCCACGGAACCGCAUGGUUCAGAGGGAAAAGGAGCAAUUCGCUUUGGGAUGGACUCGCGUCCGAUUAGCUAGAUGGUGAGGUAACGGCCCACCAUGGCGACGAUCGGUAGCCGGACUGAGAGGUUGAUCGGCCACAUUGGGACUGAGACACGGCCCAG